GUAUCUUUGCGGCCGAUUGGUUCCUGUAGGGUCGUUCCGGCCCCAUGGAUUAAAAGGGAACCGGGUGAGAGUCCCGGACAGUCCCGCUGCUGUGAAGCUCCGCCAACCAUUCGAAAGUCCGCACCACUGAUCGAAGGAUCGGGAAGGUUCCGGAUGGGGAGUCAGUCAGAAGACCUGCCAUCGAAUUUUGCUUUUG
rnacentral:ncRNA from 2 species